CUUAGCUCCUGCACUUUGAGAAUGAAAGGAAUUGCAGGAGAGUUCCAUGCACACAGUGCUGAAGAGCUUCCGUAUUCAAUAAAAAUCAGCUACUUGUCUGGUUGCGCGGAUGUAGGAGCCCCUGUUCUUCGGAGGGGGAGGGGAGAAGGCCGGCUUUUCAGCGGCCACACCGCUGGAGUCCUGGGCUACCAGCCGUAACCUUAUCCCUCCGCAAAAAAUCUGCUUCCUACAGCAGGCGUGGGACCGGCGGACCCUGCGCUGCCUGCUAAGAAAAUGAGAGAGGUGUGCUAAGUGGACAGAAGUUGGAGCAGUGUUCAAGAGGGGAACAGCACACAUCUUCCACUCUACAGAGAUGUGUUAAAUGACUGAAUUUUUUUUUCUGUUGACAGAGAUUUUAAGCCUUGGCCAGGGCCUACUGAAGAACUCAGCAGUCUGUGUAUACUAUACAAGGAUUCUACCACUGAGCUACAUCUACAGUGCCUUCCUUUUCAUAGAUGGAUGGAUGCAGACAGACAAACACAGACAAGGAGACCUUGACAGACAGAACUUAAACAUUUUCACCAUUUUAAUGUAUUGAAUAAAAAUUUAUUAGGGGAAGACACACAUGUGUCAUAAAUAUUUAAAGUAUUUAAAAUAAAAGUCCGUCUAAUGUAGCCUUUCUCUAAAAUCUUUCUUGCUCUUUUCUGAACUUAAGGUCAAUUAUUUUAAGACUGAAAAAGUAGUUUGACAUUCAUUUUAUAG